CGGUCAGGCCUUUCAGGCAUCCUCUCCUAAAACUUUUCGGGGCCGGCAAAUGCCGGCCCUUUUUUUUCGGCUAA
rnacentral:sRNA from 1 species